rnacentral:rRNA from 1 species
CAGCCGCCGCGGUAAUACGGAGAGCGCGAGCGUUACCCGGAUUUACUGGGCGUAAAGGGCGUGUAGGGGGCCUGGGGCGUCCCAUGUGAAAGGCCACGGCUCAACCGUGGAGGAGCGUGGGAUACGCUCAGGCUAGAGGGUGGGAGAGGGUGGUGGAAUUCCCGGAGUAGCGGUGAAAUGCGCAGAUACCGGGAGGAACGCCGAUGGCGAAGGCAGCCACCUGGUCCACUUCUGACGCUGAGGCGCGAAAGCGUGGGGAGCAAACCGGAUUAGAUACCCCGGUAGUCCCUGUCUCUUAUAC